AUCCAUCCACAUGCAACGGUGUUGACUGUUCGUGUGAGCUUCCAGACUCCCCAUACUGUGCAAUCUGGCGAUGCAGGAGGCCCACUGAUAUGCCCUGACCAGACAGGUCAGCUGAUUACAGCGGGGCUUGUUGCCGACAUGCCGCCAGUGUGUUCCGGCCCUCCAGAGUUCAUCAGUCUCUUGCCUGAUACAUUCGACUCCUCUGUACUCCCAGCUUAUUAAAUACACUUAUUGUC